rnacentral:rRNA from 1 species
AGAGUUUGAUCCUGGCUCAGGAUGAACGCUGGCGGCGUGCCUAAUACAUGCAAGUAGAACGCUGAAGCUUGGUGCUUGCACCGAGCGGAUGAGUUGCGAACGGGUGAGUAACGCGUAGGUAACCUGCCUCUUAGCGGGGGAUAACUAUUGGAAACGAUAGCUAAUACCGCAUAAAAGUCGAUAUCGCAUGAUAUUGAUUUGAAAGGUGCAAUUGCAUCACUAAGAGAUGGACCUGCGUUGUAUUAGCUAGUUGGUGAGGUAACGGCUCACCAAGGCGACGAUACAUAGCCGACCUGAGAGGGUGAUCGGCCACACUGGGACUGAGACACGGCCCAGACUCCUACGGGAGGCAGCAGUAGGGAAUCUUCGGCAAUGGGGGCAACCCUGACCGAGCAACGCCGCGUGAGUGAAGAAGGUUUUCGGAUCGUAAAGCUCUGUUGUAAGUCAAGAACGAGUGUGAGAGUGGAAAGUUCACACUGUGACGGUAGCUUACCAGAAAGGGACGGCUAACUACGUGCCAGCAGCCGCGGUAAUACGUAGGUCCCGAGCGUUGUCCGGAUUUAUUGGGCGUAAAGCGAGCGCAGGCGGUUUGAUAAGUCUGAAGUUAAAGGCUGUGGCUCAACCAUAGUUCGCUUUGGAAACUGUCAAACUUGAGUGCAGAAGGGGAGAGUGGAAUUCCAUGUGUAGCGGUGAAAUGCGUAGAUAUAUGGAGGAACACCGGUGGCGAAAGCGGCUCUCUGGUCUGUAACUGACGCUGAGGCUCGAAAGCGUGGGGAGCGAACAGGAUUAGAUACCCUGGUAGUCCACGCCGUAAACGAUGAGUGCUAGGUGUUGGAUCCUUUCCGGGAUUCAGUGCCGCAGCUAACGCAUUAAGCACUCCGCCUGGGGAGUACGACCGCAAGGUUGAAACUCAAAGGAAUUGACGGGGGCCCGCACAAGCGGUGGAGCAUGUGGUUUAAUUCGAAGCAACGCGAAGAACCU